UUUGUUCCUUUGCUCCACUCUUACCAACCUUUGCUCUGAUUUGUGCCAUGAGGACUAGAAACCUGGAAACCUACGUUUCCCAGCUACUCCAUCUCCCCACACCGCAGGCUUUCUGUUAUGUUCUGAUGAUGAACUACUGCAGGAACAUAUCAGGAAAGCCAAGAGAAUCCACAGACCCUUUGAAGGAACUGUACCACCCCUGCAGACUCCCUGAGAUGCCAAAAACUGUGAAUCUGCUUGCUUUCUCAACUGGGAGGCUCAUGGUCUGGGCUUAACUCCCACUUAUAAGUGAAAAUACGUAAUGGUCUCC
rnacentral:lncRNA from 1 species